rnacentral:lncRNA from 1 species
GUGCCAGGAACGCCUCCAGUGACGGUGAACUCCGCCGCCUCAGCGACGAGAAUAUCGCCGCGGAUGCCAUGAAUUUAAAAUCAAGAACAGUUUUUUUUUUNUUUUUUAAUGUACGGAUGAAAUUCAAUAAAUUGAAUUCUAGGCUAUGCUUAUGGUGAUUGUAUCGUUGAAUUUCAGAAUCGUAUAAAACGGAAAAAAGGAAAGAAAGGGAAAAACUGUGGAUUCUGAAGGCGCGUGCAGAGAAAAUAGGAAGAAAGGGAGAAAAUGGAAAGGAAGGUUUUUUGGCUUCUUAGUAAGAUUUUGAUUAAUGGCGAAUUGACUGAAAUUUCAAUAAGGGUAAAAUUGUUUUAUUGCAGGAUACAAUAAUCUUGAAUUUUCUCCGAGAAUUUCUAUGCAGGCUGCUUGACA